rnacentral:misc_RNA from 1 species
GGAAACUUGAAAAUUUUGCAUUUCCAUGACUAGGACAUGAAUUUGCAGAAACACAAGCCAUGGAUAUGAAGUGGGUUAUUCUACUUCUCUUUGUUAUAAACUAUCCAUACCUUCAUCUUGCUGUAGAAACUGAUUAUGCGUUCGCUAAGCUAUCAACAACCUGGAUCAACAAUGACUUCAUUGCUAGAGGAAGAACAAACUUUGCUGAUGGUUCUAUUAUUAGACCUGUCCUACUUAACAAUAGCAACCCUUCGAAUUUUCCUGCUAUUGGUUGUGGCUUCUAUGGCAAUCGGACUACCGACUCUUUCUUCUUUGUUGUCUUUGCAGUGCAGGCGAUAAGUGAUUCCACAUUUGUUACAACAGUUCUUCCGCAAGUUCUUUGGACAGCUAACCGGGCCAAUCCUGUCAAAGAAAAUGCCACUUUACAGUUCACCAAGGAGGGGGACUUGGUGCUCACUGAUGCCAAUGGUACGUUUGUAUGGUCCUCUAAUACAUCAAACUCAUCUAUUACUAUUAAUCAAAUGAAUGUUAGUGGCAAUGGCACUCUUCAGCUUGUUAAUUUGGAUGAAUUUAACUCGUAUAGUGAUAUCGUUUGGCAAUCUUGGGAUCUCCCUGCAGACACAUGGCUCCCAGGGCAAAUAUUACAAUCAGGGCUGCAUAAACUAACAUCCAGCAUCUCAAUUUCAAAUUUGGCACCAGGUUCAUUUUUUUUGUCUAUAGAGAAGGACAAUUUGUAUGCCUUUAUAGAUUCUAAUCCUCCCCAGAUGUACCAUCAAAUUUUCCAGCAAGGGAGUGAAACCAAGCAAUUUAAAACUGGGAGUCUUAAGAUUCUCACAAGUGUUGAUGAAAUAUCAAUUAAUUUUGAGUCUGACACAGAGGAUUUCCAAUAUUUGAGACUAGAUCCAGAUGGGCAUUUGAGAGUCUACCAAUGGAUUCAAGGGUCAGUCUCAAUAGUUGAUGAUAUAUUAACCGACAACUUAGGGAAUUGUUCUUACCCCACAGUUUGUGGAAACUAUGGUAUCUGCUCAAAUGGAGGAAGUUGCAGCUGUCCUGUCGGAAAGGAUGGUGAUAAUCGUUAUUUCACGAAGUUGAAUUCAAGUCUUGGAUGUAUGGAAGCAGAUCAGUUGUCCUGCCGGUCUUCCCAUCUGCACUCUUUGAUAGAACUUGAUGAAGUUUCUUAUUUCAGUUUUAUCCCAGCUCUUUCCAGCACUGACAUAGAAAGUUGCAAAAGAGCUUGCCUGAAAAAUUGCUCUUGCAAAGCAGCCCUUUUUCGAUACCAUUUCAGCAAUUCAAGUGGCAAUUGCUCCUUACCAUCACAGAUUUUCUCACUGAUGGGAACUCCACAAGGACUAUUUUCUUACAACUCAACAGCAUUCAUUAAGGUGCAAAGAUCAUUGGUUGCACAAAGACCACCAUCUAGUGCACCAAGCCCACCAUUUAUUGCACCAAGCCCAAACGAUUCCAUGCCUGAGCCUCCACGAAAAAAGUCAAGAAUCAUCAUGAUAAUUUUGAUAUCUGUGCUUGUUUCUACAACAAUGGCAGUUUUCCUAAUUCGGUUAUGCAUACGAUAUAUUAAACAAAGAUCUACAGAGGAAAGGAGCGAGAACAAUGUAGAUAGGGAUUGGGAGAAUUCAUUGCUUCAGGUAACAAACUUGCCGAAAAGAUUCACUUACCAAGAUUUGAAGUCUGCAACAGAAAACUUCAAUAAAAAACUUGGAGGAGGAGGAUUUGGAUCAGUUUUUGAAGGUAGUUUGAGUGAUGGUACCAAAGUUGCAGUGAAGCGCUUAGAUCGGUUUGGCCAAGGAAGAAAAGAAUUUUUAGCAGAAGUGAAGACAAUAGGUAGCAUACACCAUGUCAACCUUGUGAGGCUUGUAGGAUUCUGUGCUGAAAAUUCACACAAACUUUUAGUCUACGAACAUAUGAGCAAUGGAUCCUUGGACAAAUGGAUCUUCAAUAGAAAUCCAGAAAACACUCUUGAAUGGAAAAUUAGGAAGAAUAUCAUCCUAAAUAUUGCCAAAGGGCUAUCCUAUCUUCAUGAAGAAUGUAAAAUGAGAAUAGCCCAUUUAGAUAUCAAACCUCAAAAUAUUCUUCUUGAUGACAAAUUUGAUGCUAAACUAUCUGAUUUUGGUUUGGCAAGGCUGAUUGAUAGGAACCAAAGCCAUGUAAUCACUCAAAUGCGAGGAACGCGCGGGUAUAUGGCUCCUGAAUGGUUGAGCAGAAAAAUCACAGAAAAGGUUGAUGUAUAUAGCUUUGGUGUUGUCAUCUUGGAAAUUAUUUGUGGGAGAAAAAAUUUGGACCUCACUCAGCCAGAGGAAGAUGAUUAUUUACUUCUGCCCAUAGUGAAACAGAAGGCAGAACAGAAUCAAUUAAUUGACUUGGUUGAGAAGUGCACCAACAUGCAACAGUGCAUAGAAGAAGCUGUUGAGAUGAUAAGAAUUGCCAUUUGGUGCUUGCACAAUGAUCCCACCAAAAGGCCUUCAAUGUCUAUUGUGGUGAAGGUUUUAGAGGGUGUGAAGACUAUGGAAACUGUUUCUGAUUAUGGCUUUUUGACAUCUACUGUGGUGGAAGCUCCUGCUGAAGUCGUUGUGAUACAUUCAGAACCACAAUCAGCAUCAAUACUCUCGGGACCAAGAUGAAGCAACAAAAGGUAAAUAGGUAAUCAUUAUAUUUAGAGUGUUUACAUCGUCGCAGCAAGAAAGGCCAACUGCUUUAGCUUUUCUAAUUCAUGUCAAGAAACUGUAAUUAACCUCACUACUGUGUAUUUGAUUGUUUCUUGAUUGCCUAUAAUAGUUUUUCUUGAUUGUUUUCUGUUUGGAUCUCAAGAUAAUGAAGAAAGGAAACCUUUUUAGGCGUCUCUUAUAAUAUUCAUGCUUUUGGUAUGUAAUGAUCCAAGACAAUGAAGAUGUGCUUUUUGGUCGAUUUCAUUAAUAUAAACUUUUGUUUUCUUGCAAUCAAGUUGGUCAUUGUUCUUGAGGGUCUCUCAUAAAUUUCAGUUGAAAUGCAGGACGUUUCAUAGCUGAAGGAUAAAGUGACCACAUUGAAGAGGCAUUUAACCUAAUUUGUGAGUCCUAGAUUGAUCAUUCAAUCGCAACAUCUAUCAGAAUAAGUAGACAUGAUGAUUUUUAAGAUUUCAGAUCAAGGUAUCGGUGUGGUUCUAGACAACAAAAGUCUCAAUGAGAAUGAUUUUAUCUCUUAGGUAAUGUUUGGAUCUUGACUUGAUUGUUGAAAGUUUGAUGGAGAAAAUUUGUGUUGUUAAUAUAACUUUUUUGAAUACUCUGCUAUUAUUAUUAUUUUUUAACUGAAUCCAUUAGGAUUGAAUGUUUGUUUUGGU